rnacentral:misc_RNA from 1 species
AAGUCGUAACAAGGUUUCCGUAGGUGAACCUGCGGAAGGAUCAUUAUUGAAUUCAAAGCGGAAGUUGUGCUGGUCUUUCGAGGCAAGUGCACACUUUUGCAUCUAUUCAACUACCUGUGAACUUUAUGUAGAUCAAAGUCGCAUUCUCAAGGAAACUUGGAUGUGAGGAUUGUCUUGUCAAAGACUUCCUUGGCUUCUUUGGUCUAUGUUUUAUAAACCCCAUAUUGUUAUGAAUGUAUACAAAAGGGCUUUCAGCCUUUAAAACUAAUACAACUUUCAACAACGGAUCUCUUGGCUCUC